UCAAAGAAUUACUAUCAAGUGCUGAGGAUAGAACAACAGUUUAGAAAAGGAAAUGAAUGUAAGAAGGGUACUAAUUCCUCCUGUCCUUGGGAUGACACAGAUAGAAAAUAAGAAAGAAUCAACAAUACUUCAUAGGUUCAGAACAUCAACAAAAUCAUACAUCAAGUCCAGAUCUUUGGCCUUUCCCACUUUCUGAGGUCAAAUCCAAGAAAUCAGCAAAUAUGUCCUGGAGGCAUCUGAGAGCCAGCCUCAGCCUCAGAAACUUUCACCUCAAGGAUACUGUGGGCAUCAGACAUCUGAAAUGGGGAAGAUUCAAGGACUUUCCA